rnacentral:lncRNA from 1 species
GGGAAAACCAACAUUAGGUUCUGCAAAGGCUUUCUUUUCUUUUAUUCCCUGUAUGUUUUGGUUCAGGAAUUUCAAAGAAGUAAAAUGUUGCUGUGUGGCAGUUAUUGGGUCCCGGGAAGGUGGCACCCAUUGCCCGAGGCGGUGGCGCGGGCAGCCCAGCUCCAGGAGGGCGGCUCUUACCGGAGGCUGCCGAGCUGCGGGCGGUCGGCCCCGGCGGCGGCGGCGGCGGCUGGAAUCCAUCAGGCACUGCCGGGCUGCGCGCACUCUGGGCGGCAGGUUCGGGCUCAUGUUGCUGGAAGGACCGGGUGGAAGCGCGCGGCCGCGGUCGCCCGGGCAGAGCCGGCGGCGGCUCCCCGCAGGAGUGUGAGCCGCGGUGGGGGGCUCCGCGCCCCGGGCUCCUUCUGGGCUCCCUGCCGGCUUCGGAGUCGCGGUCAGGACCCGGGAGGAGCUGCCGUGGAGUCGCGGCGGGAGCCCAGGCCGCUGCGGACCCCGCGAUCCCGCAGCCGGCAACUGGAGCCCACCUCUGCAGAGACAAAGCCAUCCAAGGAUUCAGCAACCACCACAGAUAUGGAGGACAGACACUGGAUAUGAAAUCUUAUUCACUGAAUUAAACAGUUAUUACACAAGUAAAUGGGCACUCGUGUUCCUUCCUUGGUUCAGAAAUUUUACAUUGCUAAUACACAUGGAACUGGGUAAAGAGAUUGUUCAAUUCUAAAACAUUCUAGAAACUACUCUCAUUCAGCUCCUCUCUACCCAAAUAAAAGUAGACUUCAUCACUGCCUUUGUAGCUUGGAGAAUAAGGGAACAGACUGCACAGAAAAGGCAGCCAUGUUGCACUGUUCAGCUGCUAUGCAGAGGCAAGCAAUGUGUUAUGGGAGUUACAAAUGGUACCCUUGAACUGACUCUUCUCUAAAAGGAGUAAGAACCACACCCUCUUUUUGUGUUUCUGGCUCUUGCACAGUCUAAUCACUUAGAGUGAAGGUUUAUGUAGGAAAAAAACCCAAACAAACAAAAACAAAAACAAAAUAACAACUUAGUUUCUUGCUGCAGUACUUCACUGUUUACGAAUCUGAACCAACCAGAAAAGCAUCAUGCAGCGUCUCCACAGUCCCCACGCUGGUUCCUCAACUGAGACACCAUCAUGGGGUGGGGAGGUCUAACCACAGCAAGAGAGCAGAGAGGAA